UGAGCCAGGCCAGUGGCUGCCAUGCUUUGUCCCUGGUUCCCUUUCUAGUUCAGGGCUGGGCUUAGCGAAAUAGCCUAGAACUUGAAACCUAGGAUACACCUAAAAUAUGGAGCAGAUGACAAGAGUGACCGUCCUCCUGAUCCUGGGUACUGGGAGCCUUGCUAAGACCACUCAGCCCUUCUCCAUGGACUCCUAUGAGGGACAAGAGGUGAACUUGUCCUGUACCCACCCCGACAUCGCUACAAGUGAUAACAUCGUGUGGUACCGACAAGUCCACCACCAGGGACCACAGUUUGUUAUUCGAGGGUAUAAGACAGACGUGGCCAAUGAAGUGGCAUCUCUGUUUAUCCCUAACGACAGGAAGUCCAGCACCCUGAGCCUGCCCCGGGUUGCUCUGAGAGACACUGCUGUGUACUACUGCAUCGUGGCUGAGACACAUCUGCUCAUGGUGGAAGUGGCAGAGCAACAAUGCUUAGCUGAAAGCAGCGGGGAGGAAGAAAGAGGAACAGUGCCAGAGGAGCAGGUGCGAGGCCUGAGACAUAGACCUCCAAGUCCUGACCCCCGAGAUACACCAGGCACUGAAAAGUGUGCUCGAUUAAUUUCCUCAGCAGCUAGCUCCCAAGCCAACCGAGUUGACAGCUGCUUUAAUGGUCACAGAUUCAUUCCCUCCCCAUAA